rnacentral:misc_RNA from 1 species
AACCUUUGCUGUCUUGGGACGGAUCACCGCUGCAAGAGGGGAAGUUGCUACUGUGAUGAAUUCUGCCAUGUGGCACCAGACUGCCACCCAGACCACAGUGUCCUCUGCAACCCUGCUUCUCAGAUGACCAAGAUGGUGCUGCAGAUGGUGCUGAGGAUGGAGAACCCACCAAGCCCCGCUAGGAGCCACCUAGACUGGAUGCAGAGCAUGAUUUGAAGAUUGUACCAGGAGAGCCGCAGUGUUCCAGAGCUACUGAGGGGGCUGGGCUGGGAUUUGCUGUAUUCGAGAAGACCCCCUUGGACCCGAGAGGCUGUGGGCUUGGGGAGCAUGAGGAGGUUUCACAGCAGAAAGGACACCCCGGGGCUCCUGGAUAAGCCAGAAAAUGUGCCAGGGGAAGUCGGGCUCCAAGGGCACCACUCUGGGCUUCCAGCUGUGUGGGCUGGACCAAGAAGGCUCAGAGAAAUGAUCUCAGGCUUGAAGUGGGGAGAAGAAACUGUAUUAUGAAGGCAGACGAACAGUUCCUGCAAAGCCCCAGCACCCGCAGAGCAGACACUGCGAUGACAACGGACGACACAGAAGUGCCCGCUAUGACUCUAGCACCGGGCCACGCCGCUCUGGAAACUCAAACACUGAGCGCUGAGACCUCUUC